GAUGAACGCUAGCGGCAGGCCUAACACAUGCAAGUCGAGGGGCAUCAUGGCGUAGCAAUACGCUGAUGGCGACCGGCGCACGGGUGCGUAACGCGUAUGGAACCUACCCACCGCAGGGGGAUAACCCGCCGAAAGGCGGACUAAUACCCCAUGGUUCCCCGACCCUGCCUGGGGUUGGGGGUAAAGCCUACGGGCGGCGGUGGAUGGCCCUGCGUGCCAUUAGCUGGCUGGUGGGGUAACGGCCCACCAGGGCGACGAUGGCUAGGGGGUCUGAGAGGACGAUCCCCCACACUGGUACUGAGACACGGACCAGACUCCUACGGGAGGCAGCAGUGAGGAAUAUUGGUCAAUGGGCGAAAGCCUGAUCCAGCCAUGCCGCGUGAGUGAUGAAGGCCCUAGGGUUGUAAAGCUCUUUCAACGGUGAAGAUAAUGACGGUAACCGUAGAAGAAGCCCCGGUAACUUCGUGCCAGCAGCCCGCGGUAAACACGAGAGUA
rnacentral:rRNA from 1 species